rnacentral:rRNA from 1 species
CAGUCGCCGCGGGAAUACGUAGGGUGCAAGCGUCAAUCGGAAUUACUGGGCGUAAAGCGUGCGCAGGCGGUUUGUUAAGACAGAUGUGAAAUCCCCGGGCUCAACCUGGGAACUGCAUUUGUGACUGGCAGGCUAGAGUAUGGCAGAGGGGGGUGGAAUUCCGCGUGUAGCAGUGAAAUGCGUAGAUAUGCGGAGGAACACCGAUGGCGAAGGCAGCCCCCUGGGCCAAUACUGACGCUCAUGCACGAAAGCGUGGGGAGCAAACAGGAUUAGAUACCCCAGUAGUCCCUGUCUCUUAUAC